rnacentral:rRNA from 1 species
AGAUAAGGAGCUUGCUCCUUUGACGUUAGCGGCGGACGGGUGAGUAACACGUGGAUAACCUACCUAUAAGACUGGGAUAACUUCGGGAAACCGGAGCUAAUACCGGAUAAGAUUUUGAACCGCAUGGUUCAAUAGUGAAAGACGGCCUUGCUGUCACUUAUAGAUGGAUCCGCGCCGUAUUAGCUAGUUGGUAAGGUAACGGCUUACCAAGGCAACGAUACGUAGCCGACCUGAGAGGGUGAUCGGCCACACUGGAACUGAGACACGGUCCAGACUCCUACGGGAGGCAGCAGUAGGGAAUCUUCCGCAAUGGGCGAAAGCCUGACGGAGCAACGCCGCGUGAGUGAUGAAGGUCUUCGGAUCGUAAAACUCUGUUAUCACGGAAGAACAAACGUGUAAGUAACUGUGCACGUCUUGACGGUACCUGAUCAGAAAGCCACGGCUAACUACGUGCCAGCAGCCGCGGUAAUACGUAGGUGGCAAGCGUUAUCCGGAAUUAUUGGGCGUAAAGCGCGCGUAGGCGGUUUUUUAAGUCUGAUGUGAAAGCCCACGGCUCAACCGUGGAGGGUCAUUGGAAACUGGAAAACUUGAGUGCAGAAGAGGAAAGUGGAAUUCCAUGUGUAGCGGUGAAAUGCGCAGAGAUAUGGAGGAACACCAGUGGCGAAGGCGACUUUCUGGUCUGUAACUGACGCUGAUGUGCGAAAGCGUGGGGAUCAAACAGGAUUAGAUACCCUGGUAGUCCACGCCGUAAACGAUGAGUGCUAAGUGUUAGGGGGUUUCCGCCCCUUAGUGCUGCAGCUAACGCAUUAA